ACACGACUACAUUAGAUACCCGUGUAGUCCAGGGUGUAAACGCUGCGGGCUUGGUGUUGGGGUCCUUAGUGGGCGCCCAGUGCCGGAGAGAAGUUGUUAAGCCUGCUGCUUGGGGAGUAUGUCCGCAAGGAGGAAACUUAAAGGAAUUGGCGGGGGAGCACCACAACGGGUGGAGCUUGCGGUUUAAUUGGAUUCAACGCCAGAAAUCUUACCGGGACCGACAGCAACAUGAAGGCCAGGCUGAAGACUUUGCCGGAUUAGCUG
rnacentral:rRNA from 1 species